UUAACCUACGAAAAAAAACCAGUUGCUCCAUCCCUCGCCCCCGCCGCUCGAGCGAGAACCACCGAGGCUCCCCUCGACUCCCCUCGAUCUGUUUGCCCCAGCCGCAAUAGCAGAGCACUUCGCCGCCGCCAAAAGAUGCGAGGGGAGCCGCCGCCACCGAGGUCCGAGAGGAGCAGCCGCGAUCCUCCUCUGCACGCAUCGCCGCCUGCGACGCUGCAUAACCACGGUCUCCACUGGCGCCGCAAUGGCUGUGCCCUCCACCCAGAUCCGUCCGCCAUUGGCCCUGUAUUGUCCCUCCCGAUGGGAUCCAGCCUCCACCACUGCGCACGGUGCGACGGGAUCCACCACGGACGAGGGAAAGGCCGCGCGCGGGCGUCGUGAUGUGGUCGUCACGUGGCGCGGCACGAUCCAGGCUCUGGAUUGGGUCGACGAUCUUGAGUUCGCCAUAGUGCCGCCCAGAGUCCCCCUUUGUGAGGCCGCCUGCGCAGACGCUUGGUGCACCGCGGGUGGAUCUCCAUCUCCACCAACAACAGGGACAACGCCAGAGACCAGCUGCAUGCUCAUGCAACCAUGGAUGUCAGGCACGGGAUGUGCUGGACAUUGUUCAGUGUCAGGAGGUGAGCAUCACCAUGACGAGGCACAGCCUUGGGGCAGUGCUGAACGCAUUCGACAUCACUGAGAAUGGCUACAGCUGCACGGCCGCCGCAGCGCGUUCACUUUCGCCCUGCGCGGCGGCAGCACCGGCUUCAGGAAGCGGUUUAACGCUGCCACGGCCACCGGCCUCUGUGUUCUGUCGCGUCCGCAACGCUCGAGACAUUGUCGGCAACGUUGAUGAAGAUGAACUGCACACCUGAACGCAGCACUAAUGGAAAGAUUCAGCAUCUUGGUCGGCUGCUCGCGGCGGGGCUUGUGGCUGGUGGUUGCGGCAGUGGCAGAGCAGUGUCCGAGAGCGUGGCGCAAGCAGUGGCCCCCUGCUAUGUGUGCUGAUGGGAGCACACCGUCCAAGAAGCGCUUCAAGUAUGACAAUGUCCGCUCUACACCAAGGUACGUGGGCACUCGUGCAAAGAUCUAACAUCUUCACCGACUAGGACUAAGGUAUGUGUUUUCUUCUGCCCGUGUGAUGUGGUGACAAUUUGUUAUGCAUAUGUUUGUAGAUGUUAGUCAGUAUUUGGGAGAUAUGAGGUAGUUUGCUAGAUAAGAAAUAGAACAAGAACAAGAAGGAGCUUUAGUUGGGCCAUGUCAUUGUGAACUUGGAGCACAGAAAUUUAUAGGAGGUGGUUGUCGUAAAACUAGGUGCUUAAGAUCUGCGGAACUAUAACAUUUUUUAAUUCUGAGUAAAACAAAUUUACUUUCUGGGUCUAACUAUGUUAAUAAUUUCUUGCGUGAAUAGAUGGGCCAAGCCGAGCAGGCCAUCACUUUUCUGAAAACUAUAUCGCCAUUUAUUUAGCCAGUACAAUGUUUAUUUUCUGAAAACUAUAUUGCUGUUGUGGGUUAUCUGAUUAAAAUUACAUCCCCUGCUUGUGUUUUAUGAGUUGAUUUCUACCAUGUACUGUAACGGCCGUGCAGUGACCUUUUCGAAGCGAGAUGUUUUUUGUCAUGAAUGUAAACUUGAAUUGCUAACAUGCUGGUACUUUUAUCUGAUGAGCAUUUGACAUGAUUUUGUAGUUUGUGAGGGUUGAAGCCAAAGGAAGAACAACAUACAAUGAGGUUGCAGAUGAAAUUUAUUCAGAGCUGAAGUCCAUGGCACAUAUUGGUCAAGGGGUUUGUAUAAUAUGGACUUCUCUGUUCCCUUUACACUUUUUUCUUGGAAUUAAGAAGCAUCGCUCCCAAUUCCAUUUAGCACGGAACUGAUACAAAGAGUGCCGGCCCACCAAAUGUCAUGGUUCCAGAAAGCUUAUUACAAACAUCCACAUGUUAUAGAACCUCUAACCAGCACCGCCACCUUACUGUCUUUGCAACUACGACAGUGGAACACAACAACCUCGCACUGGCCGGAUCCUCCAUGCCAUGUCCAUCCAACGCCGCUCUGCUUCGUGCUUCUCCCGAGCGCCCUGCUCGCCGGCUCCACCAACCUCCCGCCCAGGCCUCUCCAUGUCAUCGCCAGCCACCCUCCCUGUGCAGUGUCGACCUGCUGGUCGCGGUGCUGCUUUGCAUCCUUUAUGAUGGUGCAUCUGGAACAUAUGCAGAAUGAGGCAUCCAUGGUCAAGCUUCGAUAGACUUGCUAAAGUUAAAGCUCAUGAUGAACUUAUGCAGACAAUGUCUCUGAUGUUCAAGAGAGAACUCUGUAAAUGAGGACAAUGUCGCGAGCUGCAAAUCUGUAAAUGAUGUUGAAGAGAGAGCUAUAAAUGUCUCUUCAACAACGGACGUGCAGCCUGUAGGUAAUUGGUCUUGUGUCUUCUUGUGCCUAAGUUGAAGAGAGAGCUACAAUAAAAAGAGUCUAAGCGAUCAAGGUCCUACUAAUCAAUUAAGUUGGCCGUUUGCUUGCUUCUUGUGCCUACAACAUUCUCGCUGGAUUGUUUUGUCGUAGUAUGAAAGCUUGUAAGCGCCAGAUUGAGGUCCUACUAAUAAAUUAAGGUGGCUGCUUGCUUGCUUUUUUCCCCUCAGUAUUGCAAGCUUUACUGUGAAUUAAAAGGAAUUGAGUUCCUCUGAGCACAGUUUAAUUAUUGGUGAGCAUUCAGGUGAGUGAUCAGCUUAUGCUCCACCGAUGCAGGCAUCCAGAGGUUCGACUGCGUUGGCAGGAGCUCGGUUGGUUUACUUAUAUGCUUUUUUUCUGCAACAUUGGGUUAUUUGGGUAGUUCAUGCAUGUUCGUCCUCUUUAUAUGGUUUUUCUCAUAAUGCGCGCCCCGAAGAUAGGUUCUUUUAGUUGCUACAGAUUUUAGUUUUUUCUGCUUACUGUCAUGUCCACUUUCUUAUCUGAUUAAGCAACUAAUAUAUGAAUAUCUGUGCAAAGUUCUACCAUUUUUGCACUCACUUAUGGGGCCAUCUAUGUAGAGUUUGUUCUGCUAUUCUCCAACUUAAAUCAAGAAUGCAGUCUCAUGUCAUUGUCUUUGCUAAUACAGUAUGUAAUGCAAUCCAAUUGUAGUGUCAUGUUCCAGCUCCUUUUAUUUUCAUCGUGAUGUGCAAGGUUGUUCAUGUGCUCUUCUUGCCAUGCACUAAUCAAAGUGUACAUGUAGAUGCUAAAAAUUGCUUAUCAUCAAAUUACUUGACUUAUGUACUGCUUGGACUUGUUUAAUUAAAGAGAUGUCUCUUUAAAUUGACUAUAUUUACUUGUCACACAUCAUUUGGGUCUUUUGCAUUGCCAAGAGUUGUUACCUGAAACUUCAUACAUUGUAUAAUUUCUUGUUAUCCUUCUGUGCAUGGAGUCAUCUUCUGGGUAGUACAAUCCAGGUCGACCAUGCUGAGAUAAUCAUCAUUUUAAUUAUGACAGAUUACCAAGUUUAAUAUUUCAGUUCUCCGAAACAUAAUCUGAUUAUGACAGCUUAUCAAAUUUAAUAUUCUACACAUGGUGAACUUCAUCAAAUUAGGAUACCUACUUGUUUUAUCAUUCUAUCAGCAACCUAAGCUGAUACUAUAAGAUAUUAAACCCAUUUGUAGUUCAGACCUUGCACGAUUCUGAUGGGGAAGAAAAAAGUGACUUGUCCCUAUGGGCUAUGGAGACAAUGGAUCUCCUCUGUAUCAAGGUGAUGUUGGUUCGACAAAUGGAUAUCUCUACCUUUUGUUUUGUGAAGAGUUGUGUCUGAAACCUGGUGAAACGACAGGAAAAUAGAAUGCAGGGUCUAUAAUGAAAAGAUGUUUUAUUUUGAGCACGAUGCAGAACUUGUUCUCAGUAUACUAUGCCAUUUUUCAUAUGUUGACAUGUGAUUCCAAAUAAGUUCUAUUGGUUUAGAAAAAUGUAAUCCUGCAAUAUUCCACAUUUUAAUUUUAAUUUUAAAUUUAAUAUAUAUUGUAUAUGAGCUUGUUUUAAAUUUUUUAUUUAAUAUAUGUUUACUUUUUUUAAGAUCAAUAUAAAAACCAUUGGCUUUGGAUGUUGCUUUGAAAAUGUCGAUUGACUAAGUUACUGACAUAACUAUGAUGUACUGAAACUAAUCGAGUUUUAUACUUUUAUGUAAGGAAAAUGAUUCCUUUCAGGCUGUCGACGGAAGCUUGCGCCAGUCGCCUGUGAAUCUUUCGAUCGCGUCUCAUCUACCAGUUCUCCCUAACGCACACAUCCAGGCGAUUCAAUCCCCUCCUUCAUCCUUACCUCAUGAGGAAACCGCCAGCCACUUGUUCUCUCCCGUUCCUCUCAUCUGCCAAGCUUCGUUUUGUCCCUCUCUCACAUCACCUUUUUUCUCCUUUUCAUCCAGCGUCACUGCUGGACGUAGUUGCGAGUAUGAAUGUGGGGGCAGGCGAUGAGUCGGCUGCAAGUGCGAGCGUGGUGUUGUGGCGACGGGCAGCAAGGACGAACGCGUGCACGAGCUGCGCUGCUGCAGGAGGCACUGCAGCGUGAUGCAACUGAGGAGCUACAACCACCAGUUAGUGAAGCUGCAACCGUCAUAUGGUGCCUACAUUCAGACGGCCGGCAACGACGGCUGCCGGCUGCGUGUGGAGACGACACGAGCAUGGCGAGACGAAAAGCUGCAACAGGCAAAGAUUUUUGUUGGAACCGGCGGCAUGUUUUGUUGGGACCGGCAGGGCGAUGUGCUACGACGGUGACGCAGGGGCGGAGACGGUGUGUUGGGACCGGGAAGACGAAUAGCUGCAACCGACAAUGAUCAACCAGUUACAUGUUUGGAGAAGACCACUUGCGUUGGGCAAGAGGGUUCUGCUGUGGAGACCAAGAAAAAAGGAUGGCAACAUUGGGGACGCCUCAACUGCCGAUGAUGAACGCAGCUCGGAACAAGCAAAGCUCCACGCGAGGCUCCCCUUCUUAGACCAGUACUAAGGACUGCAGUUAUGUGGAUCCACUUUACCAGAAUGUCGAGCCCAUCAUAUCGUGUUCGACCCAUGAACCGGAAGGAUUGCUUGCCAUUAUGUGGUAUAGUUGUCCUUUGAGAUAUAUUAUUGUUUGUAUGAAUUAUGAGCUUCUCUGUGUCUAAAUUUACUCAAAUAGUCUUCUAGGAAUCUUGUUUUUGAUCCACUUUGGAGUCACAAUUUGUUGCUUGACACUUUGUUCUCUAACCCUCAAUUAAAGUUAUUACUAUAUUCAAGUGAUCGAA